UACGUAGGGUGCAAGCGUUGUCCGGAAUUAUUGGGCGUAAAGGGCUCGUAGGCGGUCUGUCGCGUCGGGAGUGAAAACCAGGUGCUUAACACCUGGCUUGCUUUCGAUACGGGCAGACUAGAGGUAUUCAGGGGAGAACGGAAUUCCUGGUGUAGCGGUGAAAUGCGCAGAUAUCAGGAGGAACACCGGUGGCGAAGGCGGUUCUCUGGGAAUAUCCUGACGCUGAGGAGCGAAAGUGUGGGGAGCGAACAGG
rnacentral:rRNA from 1 species